rnacentral:rRNA from 1 species
UUCCUACGGGUGGCAGCAGUGGGGAAUUUUUCGCAAUGGGCGCAAGCCUGACGAAGCAACGCCGCGUGGAGGAUGAAGGUCUUCGGAUUGUAAACUCCUGUCGACCGGGACGAAUGCACCCGACCUAAUACGUCGGAGUGUUGACGGUACCGGUGGAGGAAGCCACGGCUAACUCUGUGCCAGCAGCCGCGGUAAUACAGAGGUGGCAAGCGUUGUUCGGAAUUACUGGGCGUAAAGGGCGCGUAGGCGGCCUUGUAAGUCUCGUGGGAAAGCCCUCGGCUUAACUGAGGAUCUGCACGGGAUACUGCGAGGCUUGAGUUCGGGAGAGGAAAGCGGAAUUCCGGGUGUAGCGGUGAAAUGCGUAGAUAUCCGGAGGAACACCAGUGGCGAAGGCGGCUUUCUGGACCGACACUGACGCUGAGGCGCGAAAGCUAGGGGAGCAAACGGGAUUAGAUACCCUUGUAGUC